GAUCCUUCAUCUGUCUGCACUCUUCCAACAAUGUACUGGUCUGUUGUGUUUACCCUGCUCACAAGCUACUGGGCAUGUUGCAGGUCCCAGCCCAGCCUGUCUCAGCCUCCCACUGAGUCUGUGUCUCUGGGACAAACAGCCAAACUGCCCUGCACCAUGAGUGGGGGCAGUGUCAGUGGCUACUGGAUACGCUGGUUUCAGCAGCGACCUGGGACUGCACCACGAUACCUUCUUGUCUACAAAUCUGACUCUGACAAGUAUCAAGGCACAGGGGUCCCUGAUCGGUUCUCUGGAUCCAAAGACAAUUCUCAGAACAUCUGCUAUUUAACCAUCUCAGGUGUCCAAAUAGAGGAUGAAGCUGAUUAUUACUGUGCUACAUGGGAUAGUAGCUCUAACUCAUACACACUGAUACAGUUACAGGGGGAACUGAAACAGUAA